AGUGAACGCUGGCGGUAGGCCUAACACAUGCAAGUCGAACGGCAGCACAGUAAGAGCUUGCUCUUACGGGUGGCGAGUGGCGGACGGGUGGGGAAUACAUCGGAAUCUACUUUUUCGUGGGGGAUAACGUAGGGAAACUUACGCUAAUACCGCAUACGACCUACGGGUGAAAGCAGGGGAUCUUCGGACCUUGCGCGAUUGAAUGAGCCGAUGUCGGAUUAGCUAGUUGGCGGGGUAAAGGCACACCAAGGCGACGAUCCGUAGCUGGUCUGAGAGGAUGGUCAGCCACACUGGAAGUGAGACAGGGUCCAGACUCCUACGGGAGGACGCAGUGGGGAAUAUUGGACAAUGGGCGCAAGCCUGAUCCAGCAAUACCGCGUGGGUGAAGAAGGCCUUAGGGUUGUAGAGCCCUUUUGUUGGGAAAGAAAAGCAGCAGGUUAAUAACCCGCUGUUCUGACGGUACCCAACGAAUAAGCACCGGCUAACUUCGUG
rnacentral:rRNA from 1 species